AGCAGUAUGAAGGUCAGGCUGAAGACUUACCCGAUUAGCUGAGAGGUGGUGCAUGGCCGUCGUCAGUUCGUACUGUGAAGCAUCCUGUUAAGUCAGGCAACGAGCGAGACCCACGUCCACAGUUGCCAGCAUACCCUCCGGGGUGAUGGGUACACUGUGGAGACCGCCGCUGCUAAAGCGGAGGAAGGAGUGGGCAACGGUAGGUCAGUAUGCCCCGAAUCUCCCGGGCUACACGCGGGCUACAAUGGUUGGUACAAUGGGCAUCUACCCCGAAAGGGGAAGGAAAUCUCUUAAAGCCAAUCGUAGUUCGGAUUGAGGGCUGCAACUCGCCCUCAUGAAGCUGGAAUCCGUAGUAAUCGCGUUUCAACAGAACGCGGUGAAUACGUCCCUGCUCCUU
rnacentral:rRNA from 1 species